UCCCUGGAGGACUAGUGGUUAGGCCACAGUGCUCUCACUGCUGUGGCCUGGGCUCGAUUCCUGGGCAGGGAA
rnacentral:tRNA from 1 species